AAGAGAGCAAAAACAAAAUUCCCUCCAAGAGAGCCGAAUAGGGAAGCCCUGGAAAAUAGGUGGCAUGAUCAACUUCGAGUGGCAAAUGUUUGGAACCAAAUGGCAGCUUCCAAAAUUUUGGAGGAUUACUGCUGAUUAAUUAGUGAAAAAUUAAUGAAGAAAGAGGGCAAUUUUACUCAACUAUGACAACUGUAAGCACUGACGGGAAAAAGGAAAAAUGAAAAAUGAAAAUUCAUAAGCUCAAUCACAGGGGAAAAGCAGAAGAAGCCGGUGAUGAAGAGGAAAUACAGAGGAGUGGCUCUCGGGCUAAUUAUUUUGUGGGCAGAUCACCCAAAGCAAUGUAACCGUUAGAAUGGGAUUCCACCGUUGGAGUAAAAACUCCACCGUUGGAGUAAAAACUCCACCGUUGGAAAAAAGCAUUUGCUCCGUUGGAGUAAAAACUGCACCGUGGGAAAAAGCAGUGCCGUUAAGAAAAAAACAGUACCGUUAGGGAUUAAGGAAUUGAAAAUUAGGAGGAGCUAUAAAUAACUGCGAAGAGAACUGUAUUAUUCAUUCUCUUUCUUCUUUUAUUGAUGUUUUCCUUCUGUGAAUGUCCCUUUUUCCUUAUUCUCGGUUUGCAGGGAAUGUUCUUUUUUUUCUUUCCAUUGUGAAUGUUCUUAUCUACUUUUACAUAUGUUUUGUUUCCUUUUCUGUGAAUAUCCAUUUAUCUUCUUUUACAUAUGUUUUCUUUUCUUUUCUGUGAAUGUCCAUCUUUGUCAAUGUUGUGUGCGCACUGUUGUGUCUACUCGGGUUGUUUUUCUGUGCAAUUUAAUUUUCUGAGGUGUUUUGUUAUUUUUCUCCCCUAGCAUUUUGUUGCGGUCUUUUCCAUAGCGGCAGCGAAAAAAGAGGCAGAGAAGAGGAGGUGAAAACACAGGAUGAGAGGAGGCAGAGAAGAGGAGGCCACAACACAGGAUGCUAUGUUAAUAUUGUUGCAUGGCUUUUUUUUUAAUCGGUAUAUUGUUGUAUGGCUUUAGUCAGCGACUAUUAGUCCAAUUUUUUUAAGCAUGUAAGUGAUCUUUAAUAUUAUGAAGAUGAUGUUUCACUCGUUAUUUUUGGUCAUAAUGUUCUGGGUCUUUGUAGUUUUCAGACAUAGUUUUCACUAUGGAGUCUAUGAAGGAUCUUGUGCUUGAUCUGGUGUCGUUGCAAACUAAGAAUCAUAGUUUUUGUGUAUUUAAUAGCGUUGAUCUAUAUUUCAGUCUCAAGAUUUGAUGUUAAAUUUGGUUUGAAACAUCACUCUUCAUUCAUGUCAAUGAAAGAGGUUUUGAGAGCAGUUUUGAUGCUGGCAGUAGUUCAGGAAAACAACAAAUGGGUCAGCUGGACAUAAACUCUUUCAGAUCAUCUGCAAUUGAUAGAGAAGUCAAUGGGAAAGAAGGCUUCCUAGCAAAUAUUAGAGUUGUGAUGUUUCUUCCCUACCGUGAAUGCCCAUUAGAUUGCUUUGUCAAUGUUUUGUUGUAAAAGAAGAGGAAGAGAAGAGGAGGCAGCAACACUGGAAUGAGAAGAGGAGGCCACACAAGAAUGAGAAAGGCAGAAUUCUUCUUCUUAUUACCAGAAAACUCCUAUGAUGUGCCUAGUGUGUUUGUUUAUGGAUCAUGGUCGAGUCACAUUGAGUCUUUCUCAUGGUGAUUACAUGUGAAAGGUCUGAUGAUAAUCAGAGUCAUGGUGAUUACAUGUGAAAGGUCUGAUGAUAAUCAGAGUCUUAUUUUUUGAUUUGUAUGGGUUUUGUCUGAAGGUUGCAGAAAACUCCUAUGAUGUGCCUAUUGUGUUUGUUUAUGAUGCACCUAGUGUGUUUGUUUAUGGAUCAUGGUUGAGUCUUUUGCAUCGUGAUUGCAUUGAGUCUGAUGAUUAAUCAGAGUCUUUAUUGGUUUUUUUCUAGAUUUUAUGUUAAACUUGCAUCAUGACUAGCGAUCAUAAAACUCAUAAAAUUCUUUCUUCUUCUUCUA